GCUAUUUCUAAUUGGUCUACCUCUAACAAACAAAUGGAUAAAUACAGAAAUUGUAUAAUAAAAGAUGUCUUAAUUAAGUUCUAAAAGAGAGUGUAUAUGCUAAAGCCCAGACGUUUAAAACAGAUUCAAUCAAACAUCUGAGGCCCACGUCUGAGGCCCAAUGGUUGCAUAACCCAAGUCCAUAAUAUCAUUUGUAGGGUCUUUCAUUUGUAGCUACUUCCAUUCUUAAACUAGUAGCCUGGAAGAGUGUAAAAUCGUCUGAUGAGAAGGAAGAAGAAUUCCAACACCCCCCUCAAGUUGGAGGGGAUGAGACACCCAACUUGUGAAGAAGAGAGUGAUGGGUAAGUCCGGUGAGAGAUUUUGUAAACAGAUCUGCAAGCUGAGAGGAAGAUCGAACAUGAGAGAGAGAAAUAAGACCGGCGAGGUACUGCUGACGAACGAAAUGACAGUCGAUUUCGACGUGUUUCGUUCGUUCAUGAAAGACCGGAUUUUUAGCAAUAUGUAUGGCAACAGAACUAUCCGAAUGAAGAGGAACCGACAAACUGAUCGGAACAUUGAGAUCUACGAACAAUCGGACCAACCAAGUAAGUUCGGCAACGACUCGCCUCAUCGACCUAUAUUCAGCUUCAGCCGAACUGAGUGAUAUUGAUGCUUGCUUUUUUUAUUUCCAUGUAAUAGGAGAAGAACCAAGAGAAAUAUAGAAACCACUGACGGACUUUCGUGAAUCCGGGCAGGUUCCCCAAUCGGAAUCACAAAAGGCAAGGAGCUGGAAGGACGACGAACUGGACAUAAAGAUCCCAAGACCUGGAUCAUGGAGCAAAUAGCGAAGUACUCGUAAAGCCGCAGUAAAAUGAGGAAGACGAGGGUCCUACAUAUACUGACUAAGGUGCUGUACAGUGAAUGAGAGAUCCGGCCUCGUGUGAGUCAGGUAAUUCAGUUUUCCCAGUAAGUGUCGAUAUAGAGUAGGAUUCGUCAAAGGAAUACCUUCAUUGGCCUUUAAUUUGACAGAAGAAUCCAGAGGUGUAGAAACAGGAUUAAGGUCCAAACAAUCGAACUCUGUUAAUAAUUCAAAAAUGAACUUUCUUUGAGAAAGAAUUAAACCAUGUGGUUCCCGAAUGACUUCCAAACCGAGGAAGAAGUGUAAAUUACCAAGAUCUUUAAUCUUAAAUUCUGCAUCCAAGAAUAACUUGAGUUCCUGUAAGUCGGCUGGAUUAUCUCCUGUCAAUAAAAUGUCAUCGACAUAAACUGCAACUAUAGAAAUCGAAUCAGUAGACUUCUUAAAAAACAAAGAAUAGUCAUUGAGAGAAUGACUAAAACCUUUGAAAUUGAGGGCAGCAGUGAGUUUUGAAUACCAUUGUCGAGAGGCCUGUUUUAGGCCAUAAAUAGACUUCUUUAAUAAACAAACAUGAUUAGGGGGAGGAGGAGAAAGACCAGUAGGAAAUCUCAUGUAAACUUCCUCAUUGAGGUCACCAUGUAGAAAUGCAUUAUUUACAUCUAAUUGAAAGAGACCCCAUCCUCUCUUUACUGCAAUAGCCAAAAUACAGCGAACAAUAGUCAUCUUCACCACUGGUGAAAAAGUCUCAUUGUAAUCCACCCCUUCUUUUUGUAUAUCACCUCUAAUGACCAAUCUGACCUUAAAUCUCUCAAUACUACCAUCUGAAUGUUGUUUGACUUUGUAAACCCACUUGCAAGGCAAAGCUUUUUUCCCAUGAGGCAAAAGAACAACAUCCCAAGUUCAGUUUAGUUCCAAAGCAGCCAGUUCUAGAUUCAUGGCUUCCUGCCAAGCAGGAUCAUGUAAUGCCUGUUCAUAGCUAGCAGGUUCAUGGAUAUUAGAGACAGAGUUGAGCAUAACCUGAUUAGAAGAGGAUAAAGAAUGGAAUGAAAGGGAAGUAGGAGUGAUAGGACUAAGAAAACAGGAAGAACUUACAUAUGUGAGUUGUAAAACAUGACAAAUAUAAUCUGUAAGAUAAGAAGGAGUCCUAGUAUUCCUAGAAGACUUUCGGACAAGAGUAUCAAUAAGAGGAGUUGGAUGGGGAGGAUCAGGAGAUGUACUGAUAGGAGAAGGAAUAGGAUUACAGUCAGAGGAGGGAGAAGAAGGAGGAAUAGGCAAAGUAUUAGGAACACUAGACAAUGUAGAGUCAGGCGCAAGUGUAAAUAAAGGAAAAUCAGAAACAUGUAUAUCUGAGGGAGGAAUUGGAAAUAAUCUAUGAGAAAUGUGAGACAUAUCUGAUGAAAAGGGAAAAUAUUCUUCAUAAAAAAUGAUAUCUCUAGAAACAAAAAUUUUCUUUGUUUUAAGGUUCAUGACUUUGUAGCCCUUUUUCCCAUAAGGAUACCCCAAAAAUACACAAGGCAAGGCUCUUGGAUCAAACUUUGUUCUAUGAGGAGAAGUAGUGGAAACAAAACAUAAACAACCAAAACAUCUUAGAUGUGAAUAAAGAGGUUUAUCUUUAAAAAGGAUUUCAAAAAGUGUUUUGUGAUUCAAAAUAGAAGAAGGAAACCUGUUAAUCAGAUAGGUGGCAGUUAAUAAACAUUCUCCCCAAUAAAUGAUAGGUAAAUGAGAUUGAUAUAACAAGGCUCUUGAAGUUUCAAGCAAAUGCUUGUGUUUCCUCUCCACUAUUCCAUUUUGUUGUGGAGUGUAAACACAAGUAGUUUGGUGAAUUAUCCCUUUGGAAAGAAAAAAAUCAGAAUGCAAUUUUCCAGCCCCUAAUUCAAAAGCAUUGUCUGUUCUGAUUAUUUUGAUUUGGGAGUUAAACUGUCUUUUAACCAUGGAAAUGAAAGAUUUAAGAAUAGAAAAAGCAUUGGAUUUAGAACUAAGUAGAUGAGUCCAUGUUGCUCUACUAAAAUCAUCAACAAUGGUUAAAAAAUACUUAAAACCAUUAUAUGUAGGAGUGUUGUAAGGACCCCAAGUAUCCACAUGUAUUAGUUCAAACACUGAUUUAGUAGAGAGACAACUUUUAGGAAAAGGCAAUUUAGAUUGUCUUGCCAUAGGACAAAUAAUGCAAGGAGAUGAAAAUUUGGAACAAGGUAGAAAAGCUGGAACAACAUUCUUCAUAUUACUCAAAGGCAUAUGGCCUAAUCUAUAGUGCCAUAGCUUUUCUUUUACAUUUGAAUCAAAAAAACUAGAACAUGAAGUAAGUUUCUUUUACAUUUGAAUCAAAGAAACUAGAACAUGAAGUAAAGACAUUGGCAACAAAAUUAGGAAAACAAGAACUAUUAGAUCUAGAACUAGAUAGGUGCUUUGUGAGAAGAUCAUCUUGAUCACCAUGUCUGAGAUCAGAAAGACUCUUAGUAACAGCUGGUUGAAGAGACUUGAAAAUAUAUAGACCCCCUUGUUCCUUACCAACCUCCAGAGGGCUCUUCAGUGAAGGGCCCUGCAACAUAAAACAUUUGUUAGGGGUAAAUAAAAUAUUUUUCUGAAACUGUUUGCACAGUUUAUGAAUAGACAAAAGAUUGCACUUGAAAGACUGAAUAUAGAGGACAUGGUGAAGAAUUAAUUUAGGUAAGAGUUCGAUAGAUCCUGAAUGAGUUACAGUGACUCUAUGUGAAUUAGGAAGAGUAACCAUAAUAGGUUGAGGCAAAGGACUGAGAUUAGAGAAAAGAGUUCUAUUAGAUGUUAUAUGCUCAGAAGCUCCACUGUCUAAAAUCCAUGAAACAUUGCCAACUGUAAACAGAGAAACAUUAGAAUUGGGUAUACCUGCACAAGUGAUGUUAGCAGAUCCUUCACUAGUAUUGCUAGUUUGAUGGUUCAUCUUCUGUAAUAGUUGCAAGAGUUGAGCAACAUUCUCCUGACUGAGUGAAGUUUGAUCUGUAGAACCUUCCACACCAUGACUGUUAACCUCAGAUGAACUAAAAACAUUGUUAGCAACAUGACCUUGUUGGUAUUUUUUAUUCUUGGUGAACUUAAAAUCAUCAGGGAAUCCACGAAGCUUAUAGCACUGUUCAAUAGUGUGACCUGUCUUCUUGCAAUAGUUACAAAUGAAAUUGUUUUCUUGGAAAAGUUCCCUGGCUUAGGUUUAUAUUCAUCAAACCUCCUAGUUCCUGAAUUUCCAACAAGAAAGGAGGCAGACUUUGUUGGGUAAUUAGGAACAACAUGUAUUUCUCUCUGUUUUUCAUCUUGAACUACCAGAGAGUAAACUUGACCAAUGGUAGGAAGAGGGGAAGACAAUAGAAUGUUACUUCUAACCCCAAUGAAGGUGUCACUAAGACCCAUGAGAAAUUGAAGUAGCCUUUCAUCCUGAUGAGCUUUGACAAUUUUUUCUUUAGUACCACAUACACAAUCACAAGAACAAGCUGAAAAAGUGUUAAGAGCAUCAAGCUCAUCCCAUAAACUUUUCAUCUUGGUGAAAUAAGUAGAAAUACUAGAAUUUCCUUGUACAACAGCAUUUAACUCUUUCUGUAAUUGAAAUAAUUUUGCUCCACUAGCCUGACCAAAUCUGUCUUCCAGGUCAGACCACAAGACUUUUGCACUUUUGGAGUAGAAAACAGAUUCAGCAAUCUCUUUUGAAAGAGAAUUCAGCAGCCAAGAUAGCACCAUAUCAUUGCAUCUUGACCAAGUUUUCUGAAAGUUUAUAUCAGUGGGAACAUCUAGGGAUCCAUCAAUGAAUCCUAGUUUGUUUUUGGCUGAUAGAGCAAUGAUAACCCCUCUUCUCCAGCCACCAUAGCUUCUACCAUCAAAGAUGGUGGAACCAAGUUCAUCCCAGGAGAGUCUGAGGGAUGGAUGUAGAAAGCAUAUGAGGGAUCUACUGCAUUAGUUGCAGAAAUCCCUUCACUCCUUUCAGUAACACUACCAGAAGAUAUUUGAGCAUCCCCCAUGAGGAAAAAGAGAAACAAGCAAGGAAGCAGAAGCUGUAACGAGAAGGGAAGAAGAAAGACUGAAGAGCUAUUAACCUUGCUCUGAUAACAUGCAGAAAAUAAAAGACUGUAUUGGAAAAUUCUCUUUUAAUUGAUUGAUGUGCUCUGUACCAUUUACCUAUAUUUAUACAAGUAUCCUGCUAACUAACUAUACAUGUGGCUAUUUCUAAUUGGUCUACCUCUAACAAACAAAUGGAUAAAUACAGAAAUUGUAUAAUAAAAGAUGCCUUAAUUAAGUUCUAGAAGAGAGUGUAUAUGCUAAAGCCCAGACGUUUAAAACAGAUUCAAUCAAACAUCUGAGGCCCAAUGGUUGCAUAACCCAAGUCCAUAAUAUCAUUUGUAGGGUCUUUCAUUUGUAGCUACUUCCAUUCUUAAACUAGUAGCCUGGAAGAGUGUAAAAUCGUCUGA
rnacentral:lncRNA from 1 species